GAGUUUGAUUCUGGCUCAGGAUGAACGCUGGCGGCGUGCUUAACACAUGCAAGUCGAACGAACGACUAUUAACAGAACCUUUCGGGGCGAAGAUGAUAGAAGUUAGUGGCGGACGGGUGCGUAACGCGUGGGUAAUCUGCCUUUGUCAAAGGAAUAACUAUUCGAAAGAAUAGCUAAAACCGUAUAAAAUAUUAAUAGGGCAUCCUAAUAAUAUCAAAACGAUAGUGGACAAAGAUGAGCCCGCGUCUGAUUAGCUAGUUGGUGAGAUAAAAGCCCACCAAGGCAACGAUCAGUAGCCGACCUGAGAGGGUGAACGGCCACAUUGGAACUGAGACACGGUCCAAACUCCUACGGGAGGCAGCAGUGGGGAAUAUUGCACAAUGGGGGGAACCCUGAUGCAGCAACGCCGCGUGAGUGAAGAAGGCAUUCGUGUCGUAAAACUCUGUAGUAGGGGAAGAAAGAAAUGACA
rnacentral:rRNA from 1 species